AGAGUUUGAUCCUGGCUCAGGAUGAACGCUGGCGGCGUGCCUAACACAUGCAAGUCGAGCGAGAAGUUUAUGGAGUGCGUUUUCGGACAAGUGAAGUAAACGGAAAGCGGCGGACGGGUGAGUAACGCGUAGGCAACCUGCCCCAUACAGAGGGAUAGCCUCGAGAAAUCGGGAUUAAAACCUCAUAAUGCCAUUGAGUCACAUGGCUCUUUGGCCAAAGAUUUAUCGGUAUGGGAUGGGCCUGCGUCUGAUUAGCUAGUUGGUGAGGUAACGGCUCACCAAGGCUGCGAUCAGUAGCAGAACUGAGAGGUUCAUCUGCCACAUUGGAACUGAGACACGGUCCAAACUCCUACGGGAGGCAGCAGUGAGGAAUAUUGCACAACGGGCGAAAGCCUGAUGCAGCAACGCCGCGUGAGCGAUGAAGGCCUUUGGGUCGUAAAGCUCUGUCCUUGGGGAAGAAACAAAUGACGGUACCCUUGGAGGAAGCCCCGGCUAACUACGUGCCAGCAGCCGCGGUAAUACGUAGGGGGCGAGCGUUAUCCGGAAUUAUUGGGCGUAAAGAGUGCGUAGGUGGUCUUGUAAGCGUGGGGUGAAAGGCAGUGGCUUAACCAUUGUUAGCCUUGCGAACUGUGAGACUUGAGUGCAGGAGAGGAAAGUGGAAUUCCUAGUGUAGCGGUGAAAUGCGUAGAUAUUAGGAGAAACACCAGUGGCGAAGGCGACUUUCUGGACUGUAACUGACACUGAGGCACGAAAGCGUGGGGAGCAAACAGGAUUAGAUACCCUGGUAGUCCACGCCGUAAACGAUGAACACUAGGUGUCGGGGUUUAAAGACUUCGGUGCCGCAGUUAACGCAUUAAGUGUUCCGCCUGGGGAGUACGCACGCAAGUGUGAAACUCAAAGGAAUUUGACGGGGAUCCGCACAAGCAGCGGAGCAUGUGGUUUAAUUUCGAAGCAACGCGAAGAACUUUACCAGGGCUUGACAAUCCCUUCUGACGAUCCCUAACCGGUCUUCCCUUUCGGGCAGAAGGAGACAGGUGGUGCAUGCUUGUCGUCAGCUUCGUGUCGUGGAGAUGUUUGGAUAGUCCCGCACCGAGUGCACCUGU
rnacentral:rRNA from 1 species